GACGAACGCUGGCGGCGUGCUUAACACAUGCAAGUCGAGCGAUGAAAUUCCUUCGGGGAUGGAUUAGCGGCGGACGGGUGAGUAACACGUGGGUAACCUGCCUCAUAGAGGGGAAUAGCCUUUCGAAAGGAAGAUUAAUACCGCAUAAGAUUGUAGUGCCGCAUGGUACAGCAAUUAAAGGAGUAAUCCGCUAUGAGAUGGACCCGCGUCGCAUUAGCUAGUCGGUGAGGUAACGGCUCACCAAGGCGACGAUGCGUAGCCGACCUGAGAGGGGGAUCGGCCACAUUGGGACUGGGACACGGCCCAGACUCCUACGGGAGGCAGCAGUGGGGAAUAUUGCACAAUGGGGGAAACCCGGAUGCAGCAACGCCGCGUGAGUGAUGACGGUCUUCGGAUUGUAAAGCUCUGUCUUCAGGGACGACAAUGACGGUACCUGAGGAGGAAGCCACGGCUAACUACGUGCCAGCCGCCGCCGUAA
rnacentral:rRNA from 1 species